UCAGAAUGAGAGCUGCUGGCGAGGAGGUGGGAUGACGUCGUGGCGAGCAGCCUCAGAAUGAGAGCUGCCGGCGAGGGGGUGGGAUGACAUCGUGGCGGGCAGCCUCAGAAUGAGAGCUGCUGGCGAGGAGGUCUGAUGGGUCUUCCUGCGGGGUGAUCAGACAGUUUGGGGCAAGUGGAGGUCCAGAGAGGGUGGCCACCUCGGUGGUGACAACCAUCCCGAGCAACAAUUGUGGGUGACGCGGCUGCUCCUGAGGGCGGUGAGAAUGACAACUCAGGGCUCUGAACUCUGCUCCAGUCAGGAUCAGAAAGCUGGAGAGCAACCACGACAGCCUUACAGUGGUCUCUUAGGAGGUGGAUGAAACCUCCAGCAGGUGGGCGAAAUGAACUGAAGGCUGCCCACAAGUAUGCAGACCCCAGACUAGUUGGAAACAGAACGUUGAUGAUGGUGACUCCCACCUACCUCACCACUAAUGAAUCAGAAGAAUGUUCGUGAGCCAAUCACACCCUCUUUGAGCCAUUAGUAUAAAAACUCCUCACUACUCCCUCCAGGUUGGGACAUACGGUUCUGAGGGCCUGCUAUGUCCUCCUUUGCCUGGCAAGCAAUAAAGCUAUUCUCUUCUACUUUGCCCAAAA